UCAACAUCUGAGUCUCCUCCUACUGACUGCAGAGGUGUCUUCAUGACAGAGAACUGUUUGAUUCCAGCUGUGAACAUCAGACCAAACAACUCACAAAACGUAUUCAUCCUGAACAUUCAUAAACAGCAUUUCACCUCUGCAGACAUGGAAAAACUCACUGCAAUUCUGUUCUGCUUCACUCUCAUAGGUAACAUGAUGGAAGAUGAUAUUACUGCCAGCAGUGCUGAAGUCUUUUCAUCAGAGGGCCGUAGUGUUACUCUGUCCUGUACCUAUUCAGUUAAAGCUGAUAAUCUCCAGUGGUAUCGACAGGAUCCUGGAUCAGCUCCUCAGUUCCUUCUCCUGAUCACUGAUACAACAUCGCCUUCAGUAGUGGAAGCAAAACCUCCUCACCCUCGACUGAAAACAAAGUGA